UACGUAGGGUGCAAGCGUUAAUCGGAAUUGCUGGGCGUAAAGCGUGCGCAGGCGGUCUUGCAAGACAGAUGUGAAAUCCCCGGGCUUAACCUGGGAACUGCAUUUGUGACUGCACGGCUAGAGUGUGUCAGAGGGGGGUAGAAUUCCACGUGUAGCAGUGAAAUGCGUAGAUAUGUGGAGGAACACCGAUGGCGAAGGCAGCCCCCUGAGAUAACACUGACGCUCAUGCACGAAAGCGUGGGGAGCAAGCAGG
rnacentral:rRNA from 1 species